UCCCAACUUCCCCACUAUUUUAUUUUUAAUUUUCUUUCAGAUCGCUUAAUUUUCUUCCAAACCCAAAAUUCCCCCAUUUUCCCUCGUUUUCAUUCCUCAACUUUUCAAUUCAAAUUUUUGUAUCUAAUCCAGCAAAACCCGAAUCUCAAAUCCAAUGUCCGCGUCGACCGUUUCAAUAACGGCGAACCCGGCGACGACCCGGCGGCGACCCGUCGUGGCUUUCGAUAAGAAGUCCUCCAACAUUGAACUUGUCUCCGCCGAACCCCAAACCCACAAAGCCGACGACACCGCUACCAAUUCUAAAGAUCUGAGCCACUACUCCAUCAGAGGCGAACCGGCUCUUGACCGGUCCGCUCAACCCAAGAAAACCGGCCCCAAUUCCACCAUUUCGCCGCCGUCCAGUCGCCGCUCUCGCAAAACCCUAGCCGCUGAUCCCAAGCCUCGAUGGGUCACCGUCCUCCGAGUCUUCUUCAAGAACUUCAUUCUUCUUGUUCUGAUUCUCGGUUUGUUUCAGAUUGUCAGGAGACUCGCUCUGGGGUCUGGGGUUGGGGUUCCCAUGGCGUUUUCGGACUUGGAAGGCCGAAUAGUGGAGGUCGAAGCGUUUAUGAAGACCACUACGAAGAUGGUUCAGGUUCAGGUGGAGGUUGUGGACCGGAAGAUCGAGAGCGAGGUCGGAGGGUUGAGGAGAGAAAUGGAGAAGAAGAUACAGGAUAAAGGGGUUGCGUUGGAGAGUGAGUUGAAGAAAUUGGAGGCAAAAAGUGAAGGGUUGGAGAGGUCGGUGGGCAAUUUGAGGAGCGUGGAGUGGUUGUCGAAGCAAGAGUUUGAAAAGGUGUAUGAGGAUUUGAAGAAGAAGGUGAAGAGCAGCGAAGAUGUCGAAUUGGGUGCGACUUUGGAUGACAUAAGGGCCUAUGCGAGGAAUGUGGUUGAGAAAGAAAUAGAGAAGCAUGCGGCGGAUGGUCUUGGGAGGGUGGAUUAUGCUUUGGCCACUGGUGGGGCUUCCAUUGUGAAGCAUUCAGAGCCAUAUUUGGUGGGGAAAGGGAGCAGUUGGUUCUCGAAGAGUACAAAAAAUGGGGUUCACGGUGAUGCUGAUAGGAUGUUGAGACCCAGUUUUGGAGAGCCUGGCCAUUGUUUUCCCUUGAAAGGGACUAGUGGGUUUGUCCAGAUUAAGCUGCGGACUAAGAUCAUUCCCGAGGCUAUCACUCUGGAACAUGUUGCAAAGAGCGUCGCUUAUGACAGAUCGAGUGCUCCCAAGGACUGCAGGAUCUCUGGGUGGCUGCGAGGAGGGGAUGAUCCAGAAGUCUAUACAGAGAUGUUUCGCCUGGCUGAAUUUACUUAUGACCUUGAGAAAAGCAAUGCCCAGACAUUCAAUACCAUGGACUCGGCACUGUCUGGCCUCAUUGACACAGUGAGGUUAGACUUCACAUCCAACCAUGGAAGCCCUUCUCAUACUUGCAUAUAUCGAUUGAGAGUGCACGGACAUGAACCAGACGUUUUGUCCAUGAUGGCCAUGCAGCAGUAGCGUUAAUGCCAUUACCAUGUUCGCGGAGCAGCAUUCUUAGGCCACUUCUGUAUUGAAUAUGAAGACUCAAUACUUUUUUCGUUUAAUUUAUAACUUGGUAGGUAGAAAUUUGCGGUAUGUUUCUAGAGUUGUUGAUAUCGCGUAUUGUCUCUUUGAUAUUUUUAGUUUGGAUUCAUGUAUUGGUAGGUGUAUGGUAUUUUCUCUGUGUUUUCCUCUCUAUGCACCAAGUAAUGAAAUCAGGCACGGGUUACAGGGUUGGCCGCUUCUUCGAACUUGCGACAAAAUUGACGAUUAGGAAGAGAGAUUGUCAUGAACGCAAAGUUUAGAAGGGCUUUGAACCAAAUUGAAAGUUCGGUGGGCAAAGAGGAACAAGGUUUGAAGUUCAAGGGGCAAUUGUAAAGUUGAAAGGGAGUGUGGAGUUGGUGGAUUAAUAUGCUUAUAGCCAUUGUAAAGACCAGAGAGCCAGUGACCAUCGAGCCUCUAUAGCCAGAUGAAGCUGAAGGCGAUGAUGCAAAAAGAUGGAGGUAGCGGGAGGCCGCGGCUUUUGGUGGUUCUGAGAAGCGCCAUGCUCCCUCCGGCCGGCUUUUGGUCGUAAAGACUUCAACAUCUUGUUUUCCAGGGACCAGGACACAGAGUGAUAUUUGUGAUUAUACUUUUUAUGGCACGUUUGAUUGGCUGGAUUAGGACUAGGAUUGGACUAUUAGCACUGAUCCCAAACUAUAUCAAACAUUGAUUUAUUUAGCAACUGGAUAAAAUGGUUGCGUUUUAUGAGCGGGCUUGUUUUAGACCAUUAAAAAUGAGAGGCCUAAAUAAGCCUUCAACUA